rnacentral:rRNA from 1 species
AUAGAGACUCAGAGCUGCAUAUCAAUAAGCGGAGGAAAAGAAACUAACAAGGAUUCCCUUAGUAACGGCGAGUGAAGCGGGAAGAGCUCAAAUUUGAAAUCUUCAAGGUUCUACCUUGACGAAUUGUAGUUUAUAGAAGUGUUUUCUGUUAGUAGGAGUGGCAAAAGUUCUUUGGAAUAGGACAUCAUAGAGGGUGAGAAUCCCGUAUUUGGUCAUUCCUUCUAGCGUUGUGAUACACUUUCAACGAGUCGGAUUGUUUGGGAAUGCAGUCCAAAAUGGGUGGUAAAUUUCAUCUAAAGCUAAAUAUUGGCGAGAGACCGAUAGCGAACAAGUACCGUGAGGGAAAGAUGAAAAGAACUUUGAAAAGAGAGUUAAACAGUACGUGAAAUUGUCAAAAGGGAAGCGUUUGACACCAGUGUUGUUUUUCCGAAAAUCAAUUAAUCGAUGUUAUGUUUUAGAGUUAUGACUUCAUCGGCUUUGCUUCGUUUCUUUACGACUUUGCUGAAUGCACUUUUCGGUUAACAAGUCAACAUCAAUUUCUUUUGUUGUAAAAGGGUAUGAGGAAGGUGGCUUUCUUUUCGGAGAAAGUGUUUAUAGCCUUGUAGCCUCUGCAAUCGGAGAGAUUGAGGUCUGCAGCGUAGAUCCUUCGGGGUUAGAUACAGUUUGUGCUAAGUUAUAGCUUUUCAUAGACAACUUGUUGACUAUGUUUAGUCUCGUAGCUUACUCGCUGAUGCUAUUUUACCUACGCUUAGGAUGUUGACGAGACUGUCGAUCU